CGCCACCCCACCUUCAUUACAAAGUAGGCCUAUAACUGGUUAGUUCGCUCUUGCACUUCUUUAAAAAGCUACAAAUGGAGGAUGAAGAAAAAAAAACACCUCCAUCGCAUUCGAGCCCAAUCCCUGGGAUACCUGAUAAACCGAUGAGGAGGCUAGCAAGUCAGACCAUGAGGGAGCUAGCAAAGCUAGCAAUAGCACUUCAGGCCCAACCAUUAAGGACUCGGGAGCUAGCAGGUCAGCAGCCAAGAGGAGGUUUGCGUUUCUACUGCCUUGAUUUCAACAACAGCCCAGGAUAACCAUCGCUCUGCACACCUGCGGAUUUGUCUGCAGUAGACGAACCGCCAACACAACCAAAAUUAGGGACAUCCUCCUGACCCAGAGCGACAUCCUCCUGACCCAGAGCGACAUCCUCCUGACCCAGAGCGGCAUCAUCCUGACCCGGAGCGACAUCAUCCUGAUCCGGAGCGACAUCAUCAAUUCCUUCCUAAAUGAUUGUAACACAACACCCCAAUUAAACAGACAGGAAGAUGGAGUGUUCCCAAACAAACAGACCAGUCAGUCAAGCCAUGGAGGGCAAAGCAUCCCCAAGGACUCUAGACAAACUAUGGUGCAGAGAAUUUGGCGUCUUUUGGCUGCCAUUUGAGACGCGUAGUAGCUGAUGAACGUUCAAUGAACAAUUUACAUUGUUGGUGUUUCCAGAAGGACGUCGUGGCUGGUGAUGAACCAAGUUUGCUGCAGACCAUGUCUCUAAACACAAGCAGUUGUUAAUCGGGUUGUGUGUUACUGAGGGAGGACCAGAUGUUCAAUGCCGGUCAACACGUUCCAGAACCCUGGUCAAUUCUCAAAGGAUUUCAGAUUUAAUGAAACCAAUUGAAAAAAUUUUUUUAUGAAAGGGUAUUUCUCUGAGGGAAGGUGAAGGUAUUCUAGCCUGUAUGUGAGUGUUUGGCCCUGGUUCUUUGAAGUCAUUCCUGGUUACGUUUUUAGAUGGACAGAUCAGAGCCAUGGCUGGAACAUUUGAGAAGGAAACAGGGCUAUUGGAGACCACAUCAAGCUUUGCUGGGUGACGUGAUGCCUUGAAACACGUGCCUGAAUGGACUUUGAUCCUGAUUCUCUUUUGUCGUGUUGUUGUGCCGCUCAAGCGCUGCGGCUCUUUUCUGGCUUCUUUCUCAGAUACGGCAGAAACAGUUGUACAAAAGUCCUGAUCAAUCUACUUGACAUAUGGCGAGUAUAGAAAUCAUCCCGUCUUAACGGUAAUGUUAACACCAGACAUCCUGGACUGAACCUUUUAUGCUUCUUCAAAAGAUCUCAUGGUCUUUUUUUUUAAAUAUCGUCUUAUUGUUGGUGUAUUGUGGCUCCUUGUUCUUCCUUCUUUUAGAAAACAUAGCUUUUUGGUCUUGAUUUUAUUAAACAUAUUUAUUAUUGGAGUCAGAACAAAAAAGGUUGUAGACCUUUAACCAUUCCUGAUCCAUGAAAUUGUUGGGAAAAAGCCAUAGUCAAUAUAAUUAGGCUUUUACUGAUCAGGAACAGAAGGAAAUGUCCAGGCAUCUCUACUUCUGUGAACACGAUAUCAUUCACCAUUUUAGUUUCUCAUACCGUUGAAAUAAAAACUGAUCCUGGAAAGUGAAAGGCAGAGUCUGUUGUAAGGAAAGUUGUUAAAUAGCACUGAGAACAGAAGUCCCUACCUUUCCCCAUCUCUAGAAAUAGUGUGUUUUGUAGGAAAAAAGCCAUGGCUUGUGUCCCAAAUUGUACCCUGUUUCCCAUAGAACCUGGUCUAAAGUAGAGCACUAUUUGGACAAAUAGGCUUCCAUUUGGAAUUAACACGGGAGGUUGCUGAGCCUCUGUGGUGGUUCCCCAGACACGUGAAGUGGUUCCAUUUCUUCCCCUGAGGACCUGUGGGUAUUAAAGGAUGAGCCAUGGUCAAUUUGUACAUUAAAUUAUGGGUUGGAGACCCAUACAAGAGAAAACCCAUCAAGCAACAUCGUUUGUGGAGACCAUGUUGGAGGAUCCACCCAGUCUGAAGGAGACCUGGAUGAGGAAUCACCAUCAUCCAUCCUUCCCUCCCUGAAGGGUUAUCCUGUCGCCUGAUUCCCAGACAACUAAAUCAUCCUCUGCUGACCAAGAUAAACUUCCUCCACUGCCCUUGACAAACACACGUUACUCCAACACCGAAACUGCUGCGACUUUGAGCAUGUUUGUGUGGCAGGAGCGUUUGAUUGCAUGGAACUUCACUCUGUAAAAUGUAUUAAUUGAAAGUGAGACUGAACUGUUUCAAUUGUUUUCCAAGUGUGGCAAUAAAGAAAUGUCACCAGCAAAUACGAGCUGAGUGAUUUAACAUCUAAUAUGACAGACCUUAUCCACUGCAUUGUGCUCCAGAUUAAAUGAUGUCAGAGGACUUGCUUAAAGCCAAAUAUCAACCUGCGACACUUGUUAGAGUCCCUGCCAGUUCCCUAUAGGCUACAACCAUUCAUUCUCAAGAACCUGGCUUAGAUUUAACUGUGUGUGUGUGUGUGUGUGGUGAUCUGGUAACAACCUCCUAGCCAACCAGUAGCCAGAACAAACCUGCCAAUAAUGCCAAUAUUCAGUUUGUGUGUGUGUGUGUGUGUGUAUGUGUGUCUCUAACCUGACUAUGUAAUGGGGACCAAAACGGUCCUUUAACUGUGG
ensembl:lncRNA